UUGAACAUCAUGCUGCUCCAUGAGUAGGUGUGACCAUAAUUUAUGAAUAAGAUGUCUUACCAUGGGGCCUUUCUUCUCUAACCAUAAUGACAGAACGCAGGCUCCGGUCCCAAUCUAAAAAGCAGAUCAUCUCCAAACUUAUAUUGAGUCUAAGAUCAAAAGUUGUAAAUAGCCAGUAUUGUAAUUUGCCCCAGAAGUUCCUAAUACGGGGACAAUCAUAGAAAUAAUGAUACAAAUCUGGGGCUUGUAUUGAGCAUUUAACACAUUGAUUAACAAUGCUUGAGUUCCAGUGUGAUAUACGAUUGGGGGUAAGGUAGUCUUGAUGUAACAUUCGUACCUGAGAUUCUCUCAGCUGCGAGGAUAGAGUAACUUUUUUGGUCUUUUCUAGGCUGCUUUUAAAGAUUAGACUAGUUAUGUUUCCAAUUCUCAACUUCCAUUUGUCUAACCGGCUUUCUUGCAGAUCUAGUGCUGUUUUGCGUAGGAGCGUUUGAUACAAUGGUGUGAUUGAAUACUGGCCCCUUCUAAAAGCAUCUUGUGUAGGCGCCAAGGGUGAGGGGGACCAGAACUUCUCAUUUUUAUCUUUGAGACAAUUAAUAUAAUGCCUUGUCUGUAAAUAAGCAUAGAACUGGGAGUUUGGAAUAUUAAAUUGUUUACUCAGCUCCCGAAAUGGCUUCACUGUCUGGGAGGGGUGAUCUAAAAAAGAGCCAACCUUAUUUAACCCCUUGGUCUCCCAUACACGAAAAGACUGAUUCUGUUCCUGUAGGGAAAUCCAAGUUUCCUAUCAAUGGUAUAAAUUUAGGAUCAGGGUGGGAGAUGUUUAAGUGUUUGAAAGAUAGUUUCCAUGCUCGCAGUGGGUCUUUAAAUAGAAUAUUAUUUUUUAUCACUACUGGCAAUUUACCCCUGUCUGUAUAUGGGAGCGAGGAUAUAUUAAUGUCCCCCAGAACCGCUUGUUCCAGAUGUUUAUGAUAGAAAUGUGCCGUGUCGAGCUGCCAAUCUAGUACUAAUCUUAGAAGACUCGCCCAGUUGUAGAAUCUAAAAUCUGGUAAUCCCAGUCCACCCUCCGUAUAUGGGAGAGACAGUUUUCCUAUUGCUAUACGUGUUUUUUUGUUUUUCCAAAGAAAGCGUUUCAUAGCUCGGUUAAUUAAUAAAAGAUCUUCUUUGUGGAUUAAGAAGGGUAGCAUUAGUAACGUAUAUAGGAUUCGUGGCAAGGUACUCAUCUUAAUUAAAUUGAUGCGUCCUGAUAGGGAUAGCGGUAGUGCGGACCAACUCUCAAGCUGUUGUGAAGCCCGCAUACAUUGUCUAUUGAUAUUAAACUGAUAAAGAUAGUUAGGGUCUGAAUGAAGAACGAUCCCUAGAUAGGUUAAGGUUGACGUGACCGCUUUAAAAGGAUAUGUUUUUGUGUCGCCCGCGUGUCUUCUUAACCAUAAUAUUUCAGAUUUUGGUAGAUUUGUUUUGUACCCUGAAAAGGUACCAAAUUUUUCUAUGACAUUGAGAAUUUUAGGGGCAGAAUUAGCCGGAUCAUCCACAAAAAGGAGCAUAUCAUCUGCAUAGAGUACUAAAUGGUGAUAGGAGCCAUUAAUGUUAAUUCCCGCAUAGGUCUGACGUAGUUUAUGGGCCAGCGGCUCCAGUGCCAGGUCAAAAAGUAAAGGUGACAAUGGGCAACCUUGCCUGGUUCCUCUUUGUAAAGAGAUAUCAGCUGAAAAAAACCCAUUAAUCAUUAUUCGUGCCUUCGGUACUAGAUACAUAUUGACCACUGCCUGUAGGAAAGAGCCCUGUAUAUUAAAAAGUUUCAUAGUAUUUAGAAGAUGUUGCCAUUCAACACGAUCGAAGGCCUUCUCUGCAUCCAAGGAUAGCAGGAAGGCCUCCUUUAAGUGACUGUUUGCAUAAUUUCUAUUUACCCAGUAGUGAUUAAUUAUAUGUAGAACUCUACGUAUAUUCACUACCGACGAUCUUCCUGUGACAAAGCCCGUCUGGUCCGUGUGUAGAAUAUCUGUUAAAAGUGGUUGCAAUCUUGCAGCUAGAAUCUUCGUGUAUAUUUUAUAGUCCGAGUUGAGAAGUGAUAUUGGACGAUACGACUCCGUUAGUGUAUGAUCCUUACCCGGUUUAUGAAUUAGAGUAAUGUUAGCUGAAGAGAAGAGUGCCGAAGGGAUAGUUUUUUCUAUAAAGUAUGUAUUAAACAGUUUCAAUAAGGGUGUCGCCACCUGUGUUUGAAGAAUUUUAUAAAAUUAAAUUGGAAGGCCGUCUGGACCAGACUUUUUCCCUAGAGAAAAGGACGCUAUUGUAUUGUUUACUUCUAUCGUAAUCGGGGAGUUCAACUUGGAUAGUUGUUCUUGUGAUACUUGGGGUAAUUUAAUAUUUUCCCAAAAAGAUGCCAUAGUCGGCGGAUUGUGGUCUGCCUGAUUUGUAUAUAAUAGCUUGUAAUAAUCUUCAAAGCAGAUAAGAAUAUCCUGAGUUUUUGUAAAAGUUUUCCCCUUAUUCGAUAUGGAUGCAAUAUUUUUCCUUAACAAUCUUUUGUUUACUAAUGAAGCCAUAAGUUUGCCUGACUUAUUUCCAUAGCGUAGAUAUGUAGCGUUUCUCUUGAGAAGGCCCUGGGCUGCUUGGUGUUCCACAAACGUAUCUAAGGCCACCUUAGCUGCCAUAUAGAUAUUAAAAUGAAAGGUGGUUUUGGUUUCGCGGAACAUCUGAUAUGAAUCUACUACUUCUUUACUUAGUAUAGUAAAUCUUUUUUGUGUAUUCGAACGAGCAUGUGCCAAGUAUGAGACUAUAUUACCUGUUAGAACCACCUUAGCCGUUUCCCAAAACAGUUCCGGUGUAGAGCUGUGUUCUUUAUUAUCAGUAGUGAAAUCCGUCCAAGCCUGUAACAGGCAUUUGCGGAAGGGCUCCGAUCUAAAUAAAUGGGCUGGAAAUUUUAGUGUGUUUCUGUUCUAAACUGGACCAAAGGCAAAUACCAGUUCAACUGGUGCAUGGUCUGAUAUGAGCACAUUAUGAAUUUUAUCAGAACAUACAUUGGGAAUCAGAGCAUCAGAUACUCGAAACAUGUCUAUGCGUGAGCAUGAGGCCUUAGCCUUUGAUAUGCACGUAAAUUCAUUAUCAGUAGGAUGCCUUAGUCUCCAAAUAUCCCUGACCGCAAGGUCAGAGACCAGCCUGGAGAAGAUUGUUUUUUCAAAUUUGCCCAUCGAUCUGUUAGUACCUUUUUGUGGACCCCUAGAACCAAACAAUCUGUCACAUACUGGGUUCGGAGUUAAAUUAAAAUCACCCCCAAUGAUCAUAUGUGAACCUGAAAAAGGCAUAAUUUUUUGAAUAAAGUUAUACCAAAAACGUUUAUCUUUUUUAUUUGGAGCAUAUAUAUUACACAGGAUAUAGGUCCGUUUCUCUAUCUUAAUUUGGACCACUAGAUAUCUACCAUCUGGGUCAGUUAAGGUCUGUAGUACUUCAAUUGAUUUUCUCUUUCCAAAAAGGAUAACUAAACCUCUACUAGCGGUGGUAUAAGAACUAUAUUGGAGGUCAUUCACCCAAUCUCUCCUCAAUUUUUCAUGCUCCCUAUCAUUAAGAUGUCUUUCCUGUAGCAUAGCUACAUCUACAUUGAGUCUACGCAUAUGCGUCAGAAUUGCUUUUCUUUUUAUUGGGGAGUUAAUUCCGCCCACAUUCCAUGAACAGAAUUUAAGUGUCAUUGUCUACUCUUAGAGUGAGAGAGCAGACUUUGCACAGGGGCGGAGGAGGGAGAGAAAAAAAAAAAAAUUAAAUAAAUUAUACAUGUGCAUAUAUUUAUACAUGUAAGUAGGUAUCUUAGGGAUCUAAGGCUAGCGGUUAGGUAGGAUAUUCCCUCUCCAGUCGCUACAAAUAAGUAACAGAAACACAUCUGCAAGAUACCCAAGUAAGCCCAUGAUAUUCUAAUACAUUGUAAAUAACAUUUGUGUUCAUUACACACACAUUUCAAGACAUUAUUUUUAGAUUUCACGUUUGAGUUCCAAACAAUAAUUGAUGCUACUAAACCCUCAAUUAAACUAAUAAAUACUACAAUAAGGAUUUUUAAAGCAUUGCAAAAAUUCUUAAAUAAAUCCCACCAUCAAUUAUUUAUUCAAAUCAGAUAAACUCCAAAGAAAUAGGCCCUAGCUACCUAUUUCCGUCCUUCGCCGUGAUUGGGUGAGGAUCUGCUCAGUGUUCCCGAGGUUUUGAGAUAUUCUCUCACCUCUCCUGGUGUAUCAAAAAAUUUAGGACCUGUUUUUGUAAGUAGUUUCAAUUUUGCUGGGUAGAGUAAGAACGCUUUAUAUCCCUCUUUAUUAAGCUCAUUACAUAAUGGGGAAAAUUCUCUGCGGCGCUUCGAUACUUCUACCGAAUAAUCUUGAAACAGGAGGAUUUUAACAUUAUUGUACAUUACAGCAGGAAUUAAACGGUAUGCUCUCAGGACUGAUAUUUUCAUCUGAAAAUGUAAAAAUCUAACCAUAACUUGAAAAGGGUGGUUGCCCUUUUCAACUGACCUUUCUGGUCCAAUUCUAUGAGCCCUUUCGAUGCUCCCCUUAAAUAGAGAAGGCUCUAUUCCUAGUAAGGUAGGCAGAGUGGUUUCAACGAAGGCUAUAAGCUCAUUAUUCUUCACGAUCUCUGGUACACCUACUAGACGCAAGUUUUUGCGCCUGGACCUAUUUUCUAGGUCCUCUAGGCGCUGAUGCAAUAUGAUAUUUUGAAGGUUUAGAUCCUCCAGUUUUUUAGAGCUAUUAGCUGAUACAUCUUCCAGCUCCGAGACCCUUUCCUCUACUUCAUUCAUUCUCACUGAGAAUUGUUUAAAUUCCUCAACGAUACUAUCUACACCUUUCUGGAGACUUUCUAUUUUAGGUAGGAAAAGUGAAGAAAUCUGUUGUACUAUAAUGUGUGUCUCACUUGUGUUCACAUUUGUACCUGGGGAGACCGGUUGGCCAGGAAGCUGCAUUUCAGAAAUUUGUUUGGCCCUCCUGUCACUUGUUUUACUCUUUGCAGCCAUUUUAGAUGGCUCCAAAUAUUUAUCCAUGCAGUUCGCUACUCGGCUGUACUUUUCUGAGACCUUUUAAAAUAUUUUUUAUAAUUUUGCUUUUUGUCCCUCUGUCUAACCACUAUGACUGAAUGUGCAUUUGGAAGUGCAGAGAAAAAAAAAAAAAAGGGGAAGCUCCUUUUCUUGGUGAAAAAGUGAAUUAGUGAAGGAUAUCCACAAGGGAAAUAAGAGGAAUUGGGACCAAUUCCUUAGCAGGGGGGAGGGCGGCGUGAGAUGAAUUAGAGUGAAGGAAAAAAGGGAAAGGGAACAACCACACACACAACAACAAAAAAAUGACAAUUUUAAUAUAAGUGCAUUCAGUGAGAGUCAGUCAUGUAGAAGACAAGGAAAACAAUCUCCAGUGUCAAAUGAGGUCCCUGCUUAGUACAGUUUUAGAAUAAGAGUUUUGAUAGAAGUUGAAUGUUAUUUACCUAAGUUACAGGAUCCUUUAACCUAAUGUUAGUAUAGCGCGUAUCUUAACAGCUGUUCAAAUAUAUAGAAAAAUGUAUUUAUCCCUAAUGAGACAGUAAACUAAAUUUAAUAACGCCUAGAGUCAGGUAAAACAUUGGCAACUUAAUUUAACAAUAUAUAGUCAUACAAGAGAGUUUGAGAAAAUACGUUGCAGCAUGCACAAAUCUUGAUAAUGUCUGCCUUUUUCCCAGACUAUAAUACAGAUCUGCGAUUUCUACUUUUGUUGUAAUGAUGGUUUAUGCUUUGCAGCUAUGUGUACUAAUACAGACACUGGGUGUAAGCCUCUAUUAACUAUAUAUUUAAAAGCCUAUCUGUAAUUCAACAAUGAGCUAGUUUUAGCUUAAGUAUGUUUAUACUGUUAGUAAAAGGGAGAGAGGAAAAAAGAAAAGAAGGAAGGAAGCAAAAAAGAGAACAAAUAGGGAAGGGAGAAAAGAGGGGGAAGAGAUAUCAAGUGCAACUCGUAUCUGACACAAUUUAAUUAUUUGUCCAUAUCUUGAUCUUUUGAUAUUUUGUAUCAGUUCAGUCUGUCUUUAAAGCAACCUUUCUCCUGUAUUCGUCUUGCAGGUGUAAUUCUUUUCAAAGAAUCAGUUAUGUCACCGCUUUUCUUCCUUUCUUUCCCCUCUUUUUGUAUCAAGACCCCUAUGUAGUGUUAUAAGCUCUUACCUACAGAUAGAUGGCUGGAGGAGCCCUCUCCAGAAAACCACAGAAAAGAAAAUAGGGGAAGAAAAAAACUAAAAAAAAAACAAGAGAAAAAAAAAAAGUACCUGACCCCUGUCCUUGGGGCUUUGAUAGUUCAGUCGAUCUAUCAACAUAGAGGGAUUACUAUGCGAGCUUCCAAUCCGGGACCCCCCCCCGCGCAGCACCGGUGGGAGGGGGUACACCGGUAUAGUGUGGAUGACGUUCACAGAAGGUUUCACUAACAAAGAGCGUGGAAGUAACAAGACUGCUUAUCUCUUGCCCGAUCCCCUUAAAAGGAAAGUGCCCCCAGCUCCAGUUCAGAGAGGCUCCAUAACCUCCAGUCAGGGGGAAGUUGCACUCAAUCCCAAACCCCCUCACGCAGCAUCGGUGGGAGGGGGCGGGGUAGACUACGCUCCGGUUGGCUCCAAUACCCCAAGGUACAGAAACAUGUACACAGCGGCCCUAGGGGAGCCGACGUCACACAGUCCCGGCAAGGGAAGCAACCAAGACACCGCUGCUACAGAGCAGACUCCAGUUAUGGUGGGGGGUAGAGUAAUCCUCGUGACGGUACGCUCCGGCGGCCCCAAGUUCAGUACCGCUAUCCAGCACCCCUCAGGGAUCCGUCUCCACACGAUCCCAAGGGGGAGAGAGGCAGGGACGCUGUUCUGCCAAGGGAUGGCACACUGCACCGCAGAAUGUAAUCCGAGUCAUCAACCUCCAAGCCUCCAGAUUCAAGGAAAUUCUAAGGUAUUUCCACCGCCACUUGAUUAGCACCUUUCGUACAGUGUUCCCACUUCUUUCCCUUCUUCCUCCCCUCUCCCUACCCUUCCAACGCCGUACUGCGCUUUCAGUUAUGGGCCAGAUUCUUAGGCAAAUAUGGACUGCACAAUAUUUUUUUUUUAAAGUAUUGCUGCCAAAUGCAGCUCAGUGCGAUGAAAUGGCACUAUUAGGGGGCUGGUAACAAGGUGGAAACAAACUGUUGUAGCGAGCCGCCCAAGGUCUAGGGUGUUCGGCACGGCUUCCUUUCUGCCAACAGCUCGCUGGAGAACACGGAGCAGGUGUGUUGCGUGACCUUACACCUGAGCUCCUCCUACCGGCCUCAAUCUUUUUUUUAAAUAUAUUUUUAACAUGGUUACAUAGUGCUCUUUCACACACAUAUAAAUUUUUAGAGUUCCCUUUAAAGGGACAUUAAACUGCUGGAUACAACUUAAACACAAUGGUACUACUCACCAUACUAUUGGGUUUUUUUUGUCAGCACUACUCUUCAGAGCCGUUCUCUUGUUUUAACCCUUAACGGGUGGUGGUUGGUGAAGCUCCACGUUUUUAGAUUGGGCGCCGCUAUCUUGGAGCUCACGUAUUCUUGAACUCUAUGACAAAAGUGGUAAAGAUUUACUGAUUAGUAAUGUUGCUGGCUUUCACAGCUGUAUUGUGUGCUUUGGGUUAGCAAAAACAAUACAGAGUGGGAUGUUUUGAUACACAGUUCAAAAAUUACAUAGUGUAUAUAUAAAAAAAAAAGCCACACGAAUAAUAUAGAGCAGCCAAUGCCUAAAUGUCAUGCUCUCACUUUGUAUUAUGCACCUUAACCAGAAGUGUAAAAAACACCUGUAAUGUCACUGAUUUCUAAAUGUGCACUGUUUCUGUCAUAGAAUACAAGAAUACCUAAGCUCCAAGAUGACGGUGCCAGUAUAAAAAUGUGUAACUUGACCAACAGCUUGGAAGAGAGUUGCAGGCACAGGAGGAAAAACAAUAGCAUAGUGAAUAGUAGCUGCCACCUUCCGCAUUCGGAUCAGCACAAAUGAUCCUAUGCAUGCUCAGCAGACAAUUUAAAAAAACACAAUAAUUGUUUCAUUAAAUGGAUGUAAACACAAAUUGUAAGCUGCAUAAUAAUGUACCUUCAUAUCUGAAAAUAAUUUUACAAUGAUUAAUGCAGCUUUAAUUUGUCAAAUGAGCAUAUUAUUUAAUGUUUUUCUUUUGACUGAUUUCCCUUUCACCCUUGAACAAAAGAACCAUUGCUAACCAGUCACAAACUAAUAUGCUGAUAUAGCACAAACUCUAUUUGUACUCUGGUAGCCUGCCCUCUUCUUUUCCCUUAAUGUGGUUUAGCACUGAAUCAGCUUAGUUAAAGGGACACUCAAGUCAAAAUUAAACCUUCAUUAUUUAGAUAGGAGUCACCAGCUCCUACUGAGUAUGUGCAAGAAUUCACAGAAUAAGCGUGUAUGCAUUUGUGAUUGGCUGUUGGCUGUCACAUGGUACGUGUAUGCAUUUGUGAUUUGCUGAUGGCUGUCACAUGGUACAGGGGGAGUGGAUAUAGACAACUUUUAAAAUUAUCAGAAAAAAAAUCUACUCAUUUAAAGUUUAGCCUAAGCACUAUUGCAUUGUCUUAUUAUCUUGCAAUUGUUGAUUAUGCAAAUCUACUGUGUUGACUGGUCCUUUACUUAGAAAAUGUUAUUUACAGGUAUUUAAAUAAACAGACAUAUAUUCCUUUUUAAACUCUGUGUAAUAGCUAAAUAUAUAUUCAUAUAUACAUAAUAUUAACACCCAAA